rnacentral:tRNA from 2 species
GCCUGGUUAGUUCAGUUGGUAGAACGCUCCAAUGGAAAUGGAGAGGUCCCGGGUUCGAUACCCGGACCUGGCA